UACUGAUGAUCGCGAAUUUUCGCCCCCCAAGCUCGUACAAUUUCUAAUCCAACAGAAUAUACGAAAUCAGAGUGAUUCUCCGGUGAACUUCAGGUGAGUAUCCUAUUUAUAUAUGUACUUACCUUCAACUGUUGAGUGUAUUUAGAAACCAUUUGAGUGAUGAUUGACGUGUCGCUGGCAUGAGUGUGCUUGGAUUUGAGGUAUGCGAAUAUGUCAUUGCUUCCGACAACUACGGCGAACACAGACAUGGAUAGAUAUGUUUGGAGGUUCGUUCUUCCAAGCUGGCCGGAGAGUUGGGAGUGCACGUUUGAGUAGUACUCUAUUUGCUCAUCUAACGUUAUACAGUGUUUCUGAAACAGUCGGAUCGGAAGUUAAUUCAGCUAGAUCAAUGUGUAUGGUAACAAGAUCGAAUGAACGUACUUUGUUGGUAGAAUCCAAUACCCCGGCACCGCCGGAUGCAAAGUUGACGCCGU
rnacentral:lncRNA from 1 species